rnacentral:rRNA from 1 species
CCCUUAGAUGUUCUGGGCCGCACGCGCGCUACACUGAUGCAUUCAACGAGUCUAAAACCUGGUCUGAUAGGGCUGGGUAAUCUUUUGAAAGUGCAUCGUGAUUGGGAUAGAUGAUUGCAAUUCUUCAUCUUCAACGAGGAAUGCCUAGUAAACGCAAGUCAUCAGCUUGCAUUGAUUACGUCCCUGCCCUUUGUACACACCGCCCGUCGUUCCUACCGAUUGAAUGAUCCGAUGAAUACCAUGGAUUGAGAGUACGAAUGGGUUCGCUCAUUUCUGCUGCUCGAGAAGUGGAGUAAAUCUUAUCAUUUAGAGGAAGGAGAAGUCGUAACA